rnacentral:rRNA from 1 species
GGACGAACGCUGGCGGCGUGCUUAACCCAUGCAAGUCGAACGGAAAGGCCUUUUCGGAGGUACUCGAGUGGCGAACGGGUGAGUAACACGUGGGUGAUCUGCCCUGCACUCUGGGAUAAGCCUGGGAAACUGGGUCUAAUACCGGAUAGGACCGCACUUUAGUGUGUGUGGUGGAAAGUUUUUUCGGUGUAGGAUGAGCCCGCGGCCUAUCAGCUUGUUGGUGGGGUAAUGGCCUACCAAGGCGGCGACGGGUAGCCGGACUGAGAGGUUGGUCGGCCACAUUGGGACUGAGAUAAGGCCCAGACUCCUACGGGAGGCAGCAGUGGGGAAUAUUGCACAAUGGGCGCAAGCCUGAUGCAGCGACGCCGCGUGGGGGAUGACGGCCUUCGGGUUGUAAACUCCUUUCGCCAGGGACGAAGCGUUUUGUGACGGUACCUGGAGAAGAAGCACCGGCUAACUACGUG